UCCUGGUUAACCCAGGCAGUCUCACUAGAGUUCCCACCUUAAAUGUUGGCAACUAGUGAUAAGGGUUGCGCUCGUUGCGGGACUUAACCCAACACCUCACGGCACGAGCUGACGACAGCCAUGCAGCACCUGUGCAGCAGUCCCGAAGGAAGAUGUUAUUUCUAACACUGUCUACUGCAUGUCAAGCCUGGGUAAGGUUCUUCGCGUUGCAUCGAAUUAAACCACAUGCUCCACUGCUUGUGCGGGUCCCCGUCAAUUCUUUUGAGUUUCAGCCUUGCGACUGUACUCCUCAGGCGGCAUACUUAACGCGUUAGCUUCGGCACAACCGGGGUUGAAUCCAGUUACACCAAGUAUGCAUCGUUUACGGCUAGGACUAC
rnacentral:misc_RNA from 1 species